AGACAGAGACAGAGAAGAGGGAAAGAGACAGAGGCAGAGAGGGAGAGAAGGAAAGAGAGAGGCAGAGAGACACAGAGAGACAGAGACAGAGAAGAGGAGAGGGAAAGAGAGGCAGAGAGACACAGAGCCAGAGACGGGGUGGGGGUGGGGGUGGGGCGGCGCAGAGAGGCGGCAGACCAGAAGCGACGGCGGGAGGCAGGGAGGACCACGGGCACUUUGGAGGAGUCCAGAGUUAUCUUGCUGCACAAGAAAAACCGGAUCAAGAAAAAAAAAACUGAGAAAGAAAACAAAAUGCAGGCAAACAAUAACAGAAAGAGUGAGAAGGCUAUGCUGUGAUCCACAUUCAGUUCCCACAGCCCUCUCUGGCUGUAGCUGAUUCUCUUCAUCACUGAACAAGUAGAACUGCUUUGAAUCAUCUCAUUACUGAAGAGGGCCACAUCCAUUGAUCAUCAUAUAGGUCCCUCACUUCAACACAAUGGCCUCUGGACUGCCUCCUCCACAAUCAUGAACAAGCUGAUGGAUGCAUGAGUCAGGAAUUGAGUUCAAAUUCUGGCUUUGCCAUUGACUUCUUGUAACCUUAACAAGUCACAGAUCCUUUGUAGGCAUUAAUUUCUCCUUAUGUAAAACAGAAGGGAUUAAAUGCGCUUUAUGGUCUC